UACGUAGGUGGCAAGCGUUAUCCGGAAUUAUUGGGCGUAAAGCGCGCGCAGGUGGUUUCUUAAGUCUGAUGUGAAAGCCCACGGCUCAACCGUGGAGGGUCAUUGGAAACUGGGAGACUUGAGUGCAGAAGAGGAAAGUGGAAUUCCAUGUGUAGCGGUGAAAUGCGUAGAGAUACGGAGGAACACCAGUGGCGAAGGCGACUUUCUGGUCUGUAACUGACACUGAGGCGCGAAAGCGUGGGGAGCAAACAGG
rnacentral:rRNA from 1 species